AUUAGACAUCCUCAUGAUGUAUAGAUUAAGCUACUGUCUUGUUAUGUUUUUGAUAGCUGUAAUGAAGGAGAACGGUUAUGACAAUUUGAACUUCGACACACACGUUAAGUGAAGUAAUUUGUGCCAUGUCGGGACACCGGACACCCAGUGGACUCCCAACCGACCAACCGGACGCAUGACGUCAUUACCCAGCACACUAAGGGUAAUCAUGCUCGGACAAAGUUGUGUGUCUGCAGCUGUCUGCAAAGGUGACAAGCG